rnacentral:rRNA from 1 species
GUGGGGAAUAUUGGACAAUGGGCGAAAGCCUGAUCCAGCCAUGCCGCGUGAGUGAUGAAGGCCUUAGGGUUGUAAAGCUCUUUUGUCCGGGAAGAUAAUGACUGUACCGGAAGAAUAAGCCCCGGCUAACUUCGUGCCAGCAGCCGCGGUAAUACGAAGGGGGCUAGCGUUGCUCGGAAUCACUGGGCGUAAAGGGCGCGUAGGCGGACUUUUAAGUCGGAGGUGAAAGCCCAGGGCUCAACCCUGGAAUUGCCUUCGAUACUGGGAGUCUUGAGUUCGGAAGAGGUUGGUGGAACUGCGAGUGUAGAGGUGAAAUUCGUAGAUAUUCGCAAGAACACCGGUGGCGAAGGCGGCCAACUGGUCCGAAACUGACGCUGAGGCGCGAAAGCGUGGGGAGCAAACAGGAUUAGAUACCCGAGUAGUCC